UUUUUUUUUUUUUGGAAAAGUGGCAAAUCAGCCUCAUUACUUUGUUUCCCUUUUCUUUGAAUUGUGAAUAUAAUUUCAUCUCACUUUAUUCAAUGUCUUCCAUUUUAGUUUGCUUUUGAGUGUUACAUAAACUGAUUGAGGUCAAACUAUUAACAUUAGUUUGGUUCUAUUGCAUGCUUUUUGUUUUGCCAUUCAAUUCUAUUUAAGCUAUUUUCAUGCCUCUUGUUCUCUCUUAUCACCUUAUAAGGACUGGUGCCUCCCUGGAAUGUGUAAACUUGUACACUCUAGAUUCAGCGACUAUGCUACAAAGACAAGCAUGUUCACGAUCUGAAUAGUAUAGUUGCGCACUUGUGCAAGAGUACUUCAUACUACUGAUGGAUGCCUGCUGCAGUGAAUUUGUAGCCUGUUUUUCAUUGACAAGUCGAUGGGGAUCUGGCCAAGUUAAAUAUAGAGAGAUUAUUGGCUUAAAUAAACUAAAAUUUGUUUGUGAAAUCCGGUACCAUAUAGUUAGAAUAUUUGCCAAGCAUUUAAAAAGUGGAUUGUCUAAUCUAUUAUCUCAACUUUCUCUAACCAUAGCCUUAUCUAAUGGGACCAUUAGCACAGAAGUAUUAAUACAGACUUGGAGCUAUGGUAGACUUGGUGCAAGAUGUUUUCUUUAAAGUAUUGUAACUUGUUAGCAAUUAUGUUCUCACAUGGCCUGAAUUUAAAAUGAAAACCACUUUGUAAUUAAUUAAUAUCAUUGAAACAAUUGCUCUCAUUGCCCUAUAGCUAUUGCUCUAUUGUAAUUAUUAUUAUCAUUAUUUCUUGUUUAUAGUGUAAACAAUCAAGCUACACUUUUUGACUGGUUCAAUGAAACUAAUUGUGAAGAUUAUGACAUUACUAAUGGCUGUAUCUGCUUUUUGGAUUCUCCCGAUGCAAACCUCAGUUCUUCCAGAAAGCUACACUUGGCUUGUUUGCUCUUUAGAUAAUGGGAUUGUUUUCACUUUGAUAAAUGCUUAAUAAGUUUGCCUGUUUACUUUCUCAUAUCUUGCCGCACAGUUGCCUCUGUAGUCUGUACAGCCUGUACUCCUUUGUGUCUCUUGGAUGCUAUUGCGGUAUUGCCUAUUGAUGAUUGGUCUUGAUCUCAUGAAAUUUCUGGCCUGUCCCCUAGACGAUUUUCUCUUACAACAGGACAAUUUGAAGCUAAGGAUUUCCUGAUGAAAAAAGGAGUAGAUGUUGGCUACAAUUAAUCAGUUCGUUGAUUGGUUUCACAUUCACACUAAGGGACCAAAGCACUCUGUUCUGAGAAGCUGCUAUGAAGCCUGUUCAGACGCUGGUGAAGUGUUGAAGGCUGUAAACUGUGCAAUAAUGGCAAUAACAACUGUUAACCCUGCAAUGUGAUUUCCUCAAUAUGUUAUAUAUGGAUGAGAUUCUUUUUUGUCUUUCAGACAGAUGAUAUAUUGUGUGGUUUAACUUUAAAGGUGGAAGAGGUUCCUGUGAAUUUUUAGUUCAAUCAUCAUAUUCUUUACUGCCUUUCACACUG